GAGUUUGAUCCUGGCUCAGAUUGAACGCUGGCGGCAGGCCUAACACAUGCAAGUCGAGCGGAUGACGGGAGCUUGCUCCUUGAUUCAGCGGCGGACGGGUGAGUAAUGCCUAGGAAUCUGCCUGGUAGUGGGGGACAACGUUUCGAAAGGAACGCUAAUACCGCAUACGUCCUACGGGAGAAAGCAGGGGACCUUCGGGCCUUGCGCUAUCAGAUGAGCCUAGGUCGGAUUAGCUAGUUGGUGGGGUAAUGGCUCACCAAGGCGACGACCCGUAGCAGGUCUGAGAGGAUGAUCUGCCACACUGGAACUGAGACACGGUCCAGACUCCUACGGGAGGCAGCAGUGGGGAAUUUUGGACAAUGGGGGCAACCCUGAUCCAGCCAUGCCGCGUGAGUGAAGAAGGUCUUCGGAUUGUAAAGCACUUUAAGUUGGGAGGAAGGGCAGUAAGUUAAUACCUUGCUGUUUUGACGUUACCGACAGAAUAAGCACCGGCUAACUCUGUGCCAGCCGCCGCGGU
rnacentral:rRNA from 1 species